rnacentral:lncRNA from 1 species
AUGAUGCUCUGGAGUGACAAUGGCUGUGCCAUGCGACCCUUCAGCAAGGCCUUCGCAGACCUCCUGACGGCUGAACUGAGGAAGAACCAGACGCCAGAGGCAGAGGAUGCAGGCCCGAGGAUGAGCACGGGCCUGAGACCCACUGGAGGUUCCCCGGGGAGCUUCCCAGCUGGGGCCUCAAGCAGAAGAGGAAAGAAAGAAGGAAAAUCCCUAAAAUGUUUUUCCACAUCCCAUUUUCUGGAAAAUCCAUCACGAGUGGCAGCUGCUGGGAACCGCCCGUGGUGCCUGAGAAAGCAGGGCAGCGGGCGGGAGGGGCCGGCCACUCAGCCAGCACCCACCCCCGCGCAUCAGGACAUCGCUGUCUCUGGCCUCCUGGCUGUGGCUCCCGGCCGUCCCCGGUGCAUGAGGUCCUCCAGCCAGCUCUGCCUGGCCCAGCAGGCCCCGCACGUGGAAGGCCCCACCAUCACGGUCACACGGUCAUGGGUGCUGGCCACGUGCUCCCUGCACUUUCCUCCUCCCACCCCCCUGACGCUCACCUGGGCCUGGCCUGGCCCAAGGGGCCCAGAAAAUAUCAGCAGGCUCUCGGGGAUCCUGCUCGGCCAAGGUCCCAGGCCCCAAGGGCAGAACCAGGCCGAGCCCCAGCCCCGCAGCCCACCCCAGGCUGUGGGAGCAUCUGCGUGGGGCAGGCCACGGGCAACGGUGUCCACUGGGAGAGACGCGGAGGCAGAGGGGACAUGGAGGGGGAGCUCUGGGGGUCACCAGAAGGGGGACAUGGACAGCACGGUCCCACAGCCCCAAGGUCCUCAACAGCCACUUGUCCACAUUUGUUCUGGCUGCCAAUGUUCGGGGGGAAUGCCAAGGAGGCCCCGGGCCAGCCUCCCUGCCCCCACCCACCCAGGUUUCCUCUGCAACCCCCAGGUGACAUCAUCACAGUCUGACACCCUGCCCCCAUGCUGGGGUUCCUCACAUCCUGCAACCACCAGGGAGAGACGCAGCAGGCCCAGGGAGCUGCCGAAGAGCCCAGCAGGGCUACAGCAGCAGGGGCUGGCCAAGCAGCGAGUGGCCGGCCCCUACCGGGAGGAGGGCCAGCAGCCUGGCCGGACUGCACCCCUCAGAGGUCCUGGGCCAAGCAGGGUCCACCCUCUGGCCAGCUAG